GACGAGGGACCUAGCGUUGUUCGGAAUCAUUGGGCGUAAAGCGGGUGUAGGUGGUCUGAUAAGUCAGAUGUGAAAGCCCAGGGCUUAACCCUGGAAGUGCAUUUGAUACUGUCAGGCUUGAGUGUGGGAGAGGAUAGCAGAAUUCCUGGUGUAGUGGUGAAAUACGUAGAUAUCAGGAGGAAUACCGGAGGCGAAAGGCGGCUAUCUGGCCCCAAACAC
rnacentral:rRNA from 1 species